UUUUCUUUUCCAAAAUUAGGUUCCUGAAAAAAUAUUCACGUUUCUAGUAAAUUUCAGAAAAUUUAAAAUGUUCUUUAAAAUAUAAACAUGUUACAACAGUUUAAAAAAAUCAUGUUUAGAAUUCAAAAAUAAAUUAGGAAUUUUUAAAUGUAUUCAACUUCUUAUAAAAGACAUGUUCAUGUUAUAUUUCAAAACAAAAGAUGAACUAAAUAUAAAAGUAAAACAAGAAAACCAUACAAAAAAGAAAACAAAUUGUUAAAGGUUGCUUCGCUCCACUCGGUAUAGAAAAACAACGACACGGCUAAUUGGGUCGAGGCCCAUAUAUGGCGCCCUGUGUCAUCACCCUCCUAUAUGAAGCAAUGAGUGUCAUGCAAUUUUCUAGUUGGCGCCUAUAGCAUUGGCAAAUCCUAUCUCCUAGCCGCCACUUGUCUACGUGCGCUACAUGCCUUAUAUGCAUGGUGGAAGAUGAAGGGUCUUUCCAUACAUUGGUAACAUGCAGCCAUGAAGGAGGUUAUGAGGGGAGAUGAGUUUAGUGUGGUUGUUGCCGUCACGAGAGCUGUUAAAAAAACCCAAAGAGGACUGGUUGCUACAGCCUACAGGUAAAUAUGGUGAUCAUGUUAGUUUAGAGGAUUUGGCAAGUGCAAACGCACACAACUCAUGGCGAGGAAGGUGUGCCGGUUGAAACUUCUGCUAACUUCCUACAAAGCUACUUUGAUUCCAUCUGUGCUUAAAGAAGAUUCUCAAUAAAAGAAGUAAUCAAGGUCAAGAUACCAUUGCAAUGCUCAUGGGACGUUGGAAAAUAAAAGAAGACCAAAGCCGCCCAUAGUUGGUCAGCUCCGCCGGCUAACAUGGUCGCUCUCUCUGUUAAACGGUACAUUUCUAGAAGUUGAUAGCUUGGCAGCGACUGGAAUGGUGCUUCAGAAGCAGAAUGGCUCAGUGGUUUUUCACUGCAUAUUGGUAUCUAUUCAAUUGCAACGAAGCUAUCGAAGCAGAGAUACAUGUGAUAAUGAUUGGUGUGCCGAUGGCCAUACAACAUUUUGACGAGCCUAUCAUCCUGCGGUUGGAAUCUGCGAUGGCCCUAUCCAUUCUUUUCGGUAAUAGCUUGGAUCGUUUCGCUUAUGGAUAAUAUGAGAUUAAGUCUUUAAUAGUGAGAUCAAAAUAGCGUUGCAGAUUACCUAGUAAGGUAUAGUCGUACUGAAUGCGCCAUGUACUGUGGUUGCAUCGAGGACCCCAUGUAUAGAGGGAAUCUUGCCUUUGGAUUGUAACCCUAUUACUAUAGAGUAGAACUCCUACUGAACUCGUAAAUAAAAGCAUUGGCAAAUACUAUUUGACCCAUUUUGCAUCAAAUAGUCAGUCUUUUGCAUAGAAAAAAAAAUGAAGAGAGCCCUCAAAUGAGCUAGGUUACAUACUAAACAUUCAGGUUUUCCAAACCGUUUUUGUAUGGUUUUUUAUAGGUUUUGUGUAUCUUCUACGAGGUUCCGGUCCAUUUUUAUUUAUUUCUUUACAUAUUUUUAAAGAUAUUU